GACGAACGCUGGCGGCGUGCUUAACACAUGCGAGUCGAACGGAAAGGCCCUGCGUUUGUGGGGUGCUCGAGUGGCGAACGGGGGAGUAACACGUGAGUAACCUGCCCUUGACUUUGGGAUAACUUCAGGAAACUGGGGCUAAUACCGGAGAGGAGCUCCUGCUGCAUGGGGGGGGUUGGAAAGUGUCGGCGGUGGGGGAUGGACUCGCGGUUUAUGAGCUUGUUGGGGGGGUAGUGGCUUACCAGGGCUUUGACGGGUAGCCGGCCUGGGAGGGUGACCGGCCACCUUGCUACUGCGAUACGGCCCAGACUCCUACGGGAGGCAGCAGUGGGGAAUCUUGCACAAUGGGCGGAAGCCUGAUGCAGCAACGCCGCGUGCGGGAUGCCGGCCUUCGGGUUGUAAACCGCUUUCGCCUGUGACGAAGCGUGAGUGACGGUACUGGGUAAAGAAGCACCGGCUAACUACGUG
rnacentral:rRNA from 1 species